rnacentral:rRNA from 1 species
UGGGGGAUAUUGCACAAUGGGCGAAAGCCUGAUGCAGCGACGCCGCGUGGGGGAUGAAGGCCUUCGGGUUGUAAACUUCUUUUGCUCUGAACAAUGCAUGCUUUUGGGGUGUGUUGAGUGUAGGGGUUGAUUAGCGCCGGCUAACUACGUGCCAGCAGCCGCGGUAAUACGUAGGGCGCGAGCGUUGUCCGGAAUUAUUGGGCGUAAAGGGCUUGUAGGUGGCUGGUUGCGUCUGUCGUGAAAGCUCAUGGCUUAACUGUGGGUUUGCGGUGGGUACGGGCUGGCUUGAGUGCAGUAGGGGAGGCUGGAAUUCCUGGUGUAGCGGUGGAAUGCGCAGAUAUCAGGAGGAAUACCGGUGGCGAAGGCGGGUCUCUGGGCUGUUACUGACGCUGAGGAGCGAAAGCGUGGGGAGCGAACAGG